UCUGCAAAUUGCAUAUUCAAGAAAGUUGUGGAAGUAGAACUAUACGUUAUGUGAUAUUAUCGUUUGUUUGAUUGUUUUAACAAAGCUACCUCUCUGCAGUAUGGUGAAGAACAGGUACAGCACUUUCGAGUGAAGGAUGUGUUGAUCUUUCCAUCCACGGGAAAGCAGGUAAUCACAGCUCCAUUUCCCCUGCCACAUGCUUCCUGCUGUUGAUAUUGUGAUCAGACGCCGUGGAGGUUUGCUGCUUCUUCUCUUCAUUAAAACAAAAUGUCUUGAGAUGGAAAGGAACUGUAUGAAGAAAUAUACUUUCUAGAGACACUAAUAGAUCACUCCAAGUUUUCCUUUCCAUCAAAAAGGAAAUUGUGUGAAAAGAGAAACUGUUCAGAUUAAGAAGAGUGUUCGAAAAUGGAUAUCUGCAGAAAUCUGAAAGAUGAAAAAGGAGAAUCUGCUUACCAAGGAGAUAUCAUUUCUCUUUGAAGAAGCUUUGAUUUUGAAUGUUUGAGUU